rnacentral:rRNA from 1 species
GUGGGGAAUCUUCCGCAAUGGACGAAAGUCUGACGGAGCAACGCCGCGUGAGUGAUGACGGCCUUCGGGUUGUAAAGCUCUGUGAUCGGGGACGAAUGGCUGGUAUGCUAAUACCAUAUCAGAGUGACGGUACCCGAAUAGCAAGCCACGGCUAACUACGUGCCAGCAGCCGCGGUAAUACGUAGGUGGCAAGCGUUGUCCGGAAUUAUUGGGCGUAUAGCGCGCGCAGGCGGCUUCUUAAGUCCAUCUUAAAAGUGCGGGGCUUAACCCCGUGAUGAGAUGGAAACUGGGAGGCUGGAGUAUCGGAGAGGAAAGUGGAAUUCCUAGUGUAGCGGUGAAAUGCGUAGAGAUUAGGAAGAACACCGGUGGCGAAGGCGACUUUCUGGACGACAACUGACGCUGAGGCGCGAAAGCGUGGGGAGCAAACAGGAUUAGAAACCCUAGUAGUCC